GGCGCCGUCGGCCGAGCGAGGAGCUCGGGCUCAGCGGCAGGAUGAUGCUCUCCCGGGCCAAGCCGGCCGUGGGGGGUACCCCGCCGCCGGGAGACAGGAGGAGGAAGAAGGGGAAGAAGGUGCCGCAGCUGGAAGAGCUCCUGGCCCUGAGGGACUUCACCGGCGCGAUCGCCUUGCUCGAGUUUAAACGGCACGUGGGUGAGCAGGAGGAGGAUGCUGACCUUUGGAUUGGAUACUCUGCCUUUCAUUUGGGUGACUACAAGAGAGCACUGGAGGAAUAUGAGGCCUUAACCAAACAACCAGAUUGUAAUCCAGAUGUCUGGGUGAACCUUGCCUGUACGUACUUCUUUCUGGGGAUGUAUACACAAGCUGAACAAGCAGCCUUGAAAGCACCUAAGAGUCGUCUCCAGAACCGUUUACUCUUUCACCUGGCACAUAAGUUCAGUGAUGAGAAGAAACUGAUGAGCUCUCACCAGAAUCUGCAAGACAUUACAGAAGAUCAGCUUAGUUUGGCAUCUAUCCACUACAUGCGGUCCCAUUACCAAGAAGCUAUUGAUAUCUACAAACGCAUUCUUCUCGAUAAUCGGGAAUACCUGGCUCUGAAUGUAUAUGUGGCCCUAUGCUAUUACAAACUGGAUUACUAUGAUGUAUCACAGGAAGUACUAGCUGUUUAUCUUCAGCAAGUUCCUGACAGCACCAUUGCUCUUAACCUUAAGGCUUGUAACCAUUUCCGACUUUACAAUGGGAAGGCUGCAGAGGCAGAGCUCAAGAACUUGACAGACAGUGCCUCAUCAUCUUUUGAGUUUGGCAAGGAGCUCAUUAAGCACAAUCUGGUGGUGUUCCGAGGAGGAGAAGGGGCUUUGCAGGUUCUGCCUCCUCUGGUUGAUGUUAUUCCUGAGGCAAGACUGAAUCUUGUCAUUUACUAUCUCCGGCAAGAUGAUGUGCAGGAGGCUUAUAACCUGAUUAAGGACCUGGAACCUACAGCUCCACAGGAGUACAUCCUCAAAGGAGUGGUAAAUGCAGCACUUGGACAAGAAAUGGGCUCGAGAGAUCAUCUGAAAAUUGCUCAGCAGUUCUUCCAGUUGGUGGGUGAAUCAGCCAGCGAAUGUGAUACCAUUCCAGGGAGACAGUGCAUGUCCUCCUGCUUCUUUCUUCUUAGACAGUUUGGUAAUGUCCUGAUUUACCUCAACUCAGUCAAGAGUUACUUCUACAACGAUGACACUUUUAACUUCAACUACGCCCAAGCCAAAGCUGCCAUGGGCAAUUUUAGUGAGGCUGAAGAGAUCUUCAUGUUGGUUGAAAAUAAGCAGGUUGGGUGGAACAUCAUCUUCCCCUUCUUAGAGGAACUGAAACUCUCAGUGAACACUAUUCAGAGAAGAUUAUCUUGCUAAUCUUGUAAUGUGAGGUAUAUGGGGAGUCAUGCUGCUUGUGGUGCAUCACAAGAGUGCUUGCAGCUAUCUCUAAUUGAUCAAAGAAUACCCUCUUAAUCAGAUUUCCUAUGCUUUGUCUGGGAUCCCAGGCAGUCUUAUUGUUGAGACUGACUAGGGCAUGCUGAGUAAAAGACACUGAAUAGUUAAGACCGUCUAGGUGUCCCUGGAAAUUUGUAUUUAAAAAAAAUUUUCUUCCUCUGGGAGAUGUGGGAGGAAAAGAGGAAGUGCUCACUAUCUUAUUCAGCAGCAUCCAGAUGCAGCUGGAAGAGAUUAACUUCUACGCACAGCAUUUUUUGUCUAUGUGCAGUAGAACCUUAAUUACAACUGAAAUAUGCAAAAGCAAAUAGCUAUUAUGAAGAUGGCAGUAACAUUUUCCACAAGACUAGAAAGAAGACAAGCCAGAAAAAAACAACCAUGUAGUCUAAAGUGAAUCAUAUAGGUUUGGUUGGUUUGCGGUUUUUUUGUGUUUUUCCUGUUUAACUUUUUAACUCUUGUUUCUUGACAAUAGAGGCCCCCUGGUUUUGGGGGGUUUCUUUUCUGUUUUCUUUUCUUUUCUUUUCCUCCCAGUACCCACCUCCCUUAAUUUCUGUGACCUGAAAUUGCAUCUCUCUUUAAGAAAAAUAUCGAAGACUGUCAGGCAAAAUGUAUAUAUAUUUCAGUUCACCCACCUUAAUUUAGUUAGCUUAAUGAAAAUGCAGGUGAGUAUCUUAAAACUAUGCUAGCAGGCUAUGCUGAUAAAAAUGAUAAUGCUAUGAGUAAGCUUUAGCUACAGCCAGGCAACAAACAAACACAAAGGUGUAAACUGCUGUUAAUCCACAUUUUUCCUCUUAUAUUCCUACAAAUGAUUCUAUAUAAACUUGUGUUAUGUAGCUGAUGCAUUUAAAUAACAGGAUUAUGUAAUUAAAUUGAUUAGACUGUCCUAAUGUCUGAUCUUUGCUUGUGAUGAUGCUUUCAUAUAAACAUCACAAUUCCCCAGUGUCUCAUAAACUCGUAAAAUAUCUCCACAUAAAACAUUUAUUAACUUACUAAGAAGUUUACCUCGCUGGACAUAAUGAAGAAAAAAAAAACCCCAAAACUAUGAUAAAGUGAUAUUUACACUGAUAAUGCUCCUUUUUUUUCUUUUUCUCCUUUACCACUCCCAAAAUUAGGGGGUCAGCAAUGUUUAACCAAUAAAAACGUCAGUAAUUUGUGGAACUCGUUGUUCCAGUACGUACAUCUGCUCCUAUAAAGGUAUUUUGAGUUCUGCCAGUAGCAUCCUCGUAUAGUUACAAAUAUACCUCCAGAGAGGCAUAAAUAGUUGGGGUUUUUUCUGUGAGUAAAGCCAGAGUACAUUUUAAAAUUUAUAACUUCCCCCCAUGCAUCACUUUAGAUGUAGAAUAUAAUAAACCUGUAUUUGUACAGCAAGUUAGAAAAGACGAACAUUUUGCCUUGGAGCCUUACUGACACCAAAAUGAUUAGAAAUGGCUUAUUGCUGACCUGGAGUGAUCUCUGACAUGUAUGGGGAGGAAAGGCUUAUAUAUAUGUGAAACUUCUGGUAUUUCAAGAAGACGCUAAUGUAAUUGCUUGCAUUGCUUUCUAAACAAACACAUUCCAAAUAGCUUUUCCCACAGGCCCAGUGUUCCUUUGUGCUGUUCAUGUUGCAUGGCCGCCCACUGGCACUUGUUCAGAGCAGGCCGCACCCUCCGCACAGCUUGGCGUUUUGCAGCUGCAGAAGUCCCUAGAUAAGCGUGGCACUGUUUGAAUCCUCCACCUACCCGACACAGAGAGAUGCCCCUGCACUGCACUUGCAUACACUAACUCUUCUCAUGAAGCAGUUGUUUGUGUGGCUUAAGUCUUAGCUGCGUGUUGAAACGAGGCAGGUCUGCCUUCUGUUUGUUUAAAGUACGUGCAUGUAUAAUCUUUUAUUUGCCUUCUUCCUGCAGGUGUUCCUUUUGAUCCAGAGUGAGAAGAUAAAGAAUGAUUUUGUUUACCUUAGCUGGCUAGCUCGCUGCUAUAUUAUGAAUAAGAAACCACAGUUGGCCUGGAAGCUCUAUCUGAAGAUGGAGACCUCAGGGGAGUCCUUUA